rnacentral:rRNA from 1 species
UAACUGGUUUGAGAGGAUGAUCAGUCAGACUGGAACUGAGACACGGUCCAGACUCCUACGGGAGGCAGCAGUGAGGAAUCUUCCACAAUGGGCGAAAGCCUGAUGGAGCAACGCCGCGUGCAGGAUGAAGGCCUUCGGGUUGUAAACUGCUUUUAUAAGUGAGGAAUAUGACAGUAACUUAUGAAUAAGGAUCGGCUAACUACGUGCCAGCAGCCGCGGUCAUACGUAGGAUCCGAGCGUUAUCCGGAGUGACUGGGCGUAAAGAGUUGCGUAGGUGGUUUAAUAAGCGAAUAGUGAAAUCUGGUGGCUCAACCAUUCAGACUAUUAUUCGAACUGUUGAACUCGAGAGCAGAAGAGGUAGCUGGAAUUUCUAGUGUAGGAGUGAAAUCCGUAGAUAUUAGAAGGAACACCGAUGGCGUAGGCAGGCUACUGGGCUGUUUCUGACACUGAGGCACGAAAGCGUGGGGAGCGAACCGGAUUAGAUACCCGGGUAGUCCACGCCGUAAACGAUGGAUACUAGCUGUUUGGGGUAUCGACCCCCUGAGUAGCGAAGCUAACGCGUUAAGUAUCCCGCCUGUGGAGUACGAUCGCAAGAUUAAAACAUAAAGGAAUUGACGGGGACCCGCACAAGCGGUGGAUCAUGUUCUUUAAUUCGAUGAUAACCGAUAAACCUUACCAGGUCUUGACAUCCUUGGAAUCUUUCAGAAAUGAGAGAGUGCUUUUUAAGAGCCAAGUGACAGGUGAUGCAUGGCCGUCGUCAGCUCGUGUCGUGAGAUGUUUGGUUAAGUCCAUCAACGAGCGCAACCCUUGUCAGUAGUUGUAUUUUUCUACUGAGACUGCCCCGGUAACGGGGAGGAAGGAGGGGAUGACGUCAGGUCAGUAUUUCCCUUACGUCCUGGGCUAGAAACGUGAUACAAUGGCUAGUACAAUGCGCAGCGAAGCCGCGAGGUGAAGCAAAUCGCAUCAAAGCUAGUCCCAGUUCGGAUUGUAGGCUGAAACUCGCCUGCAU